CCAGAGGGUCGGGCGGCCGCUGCUGUUGCUUUAUGGCGGCAGGAGAGGAAAGUCCGGGCUCCAGCGAGGAACGGUGCCGGGUAACGCCCGGCGGGUCAGAGAGCGAUUUCUGAUUUAGGGAAAGUGCAACAGAAAGCAGACCGCCAUGGCUUCGGCCGGGUAAGGGCGAAAGGGUGCGGCAAGAGCGCACCGCGUGGGUGGCAACAUUCGCGGCACGGCAAACCCCACCGGGAGCAAAAUCGAAUAGGGGCGGCAUAUGGGUUUCCUCCACUCCGUCGCCCGGGUUGAUUGCUUGAGUGCCGCAGCAAUGCGUCGCCUAGAGGAAUGGCCGCACAUCUGCGCCGGUUCUGCCGGUGCGGAGGACAGAACCCGGCUUAUAGACCCUCUGGCAAA
rnacentral:RNase_P_RNA from 1 species